UCAGUGCAUCUUGCCGCCCUUGGAUUGUGCUUUCUUUGACUACAAACUGCUUUCUUCCUCCAGGUCAUUCAAAGUAGGUUUCCCUCCAUUUCUACCACAGGCAUGCUUCUUUGAUCAGCACAAAACAACAGUUAAGAUGAAGUCUUGAUGGUUGGUGGUACAGAAGAGAACAGGAGGUUGGAAAUGACCACAGAAGUGUUUGCUCAGAGAAGAAUCAUCAGGAACAGUUUCGUGACUUCAGGGUGAGGAAGCUGCAUCCUCAGGCAGAAGGAUGCUCUGAGGAUGAGGAGCUGACGGAUCCAUUUGCAAGGAGCCUGGAGCCACUGGCACAGAAAGGAAAUCGAGGUACCUGUUUCCUAUCACCUUCAAAACUGCUUCCAAAGAAGCCACCAGGGAUAACACUGAGAGAGCACCGGGAGCCUUGGACAAUAAACAGGAUUCUUGGUUGGAAGGAGGCUGUGGUGGUGAUGUGGGGUACAAAGAGGACCCCCACCUCCCACCUGGAGGAGAAUGAACAACCAGGGGCUCCAGCACAUGUGUGUACCAAGGCAGGAGGAUAAAAUCUGGGGAGUCGGGACCCAGUUAUUCCUAGUUCUUGGCCCUGAAAAUGGCCAAAUGACAUUUGUUCCCCCAAAUGAACCUAAGGAAUGUUUCAAUGGCAGCAGAAUGAAUAAACUGGGGUAGAGGUAACCAAUGGCCAAUGCAGUACAUCUCAAAUGAGGUAGUGGAGAAAAACAGAAAGUAAAUCACAGCAGAGAGGAAAGGGGGAGAUGGGGCUAUCCUGGGAAGGAAAAGCUGGUGCCAUGAGAGCAGAUGCUGGAAGGGGAUGGGGAAGUCACAGGGAUGGAAUUAAGUGAACUGUGUGCAUUAUUUUAAAUCCUGUUCGCAUUAACACCAUAAAUAUUCCACUUCAUUCAUUAUUAUUGCAUUUGCCAGCAAAGCUGCAGGGUAAAACUUCAGCUCAAAGUUUAAUUACAGCCAGGCACAGUGGAGCAUUUUUCAUGUCCCCGAGAACUGCCAACAGAGAAAGAUGAAGCUUUCAUAAUGGCCAGGGUGACAGGUACCUUUUCAAAAACAGCUGUCACCCUCCAGAGGGCUUCCUAGGGGACCAGUGGGUUCUUGGAACCCCCUGAAGUUGUUCAGCAAAUGCCAGGAAACUUGCAAG